rnacentral:misc_RNA from 1 species
AAAGUCGUAACAAGGUUUCCGUAGGUGAACCUGCGGAAGGAUCAUUAAUGAGUAAUUGGAAGCAGUCUUUAUAGUAUAAAGGUUGUCUUCCAGUCUCUUUAACCCAAUGGUAAUUUCACUAGUUGCUUUGGCAGUUUGUUUAUUCAGCUGCCAAAGGAAAUAAACAAUGUUGUCCUAUAGUUGGCUGUCAUUUGUCUGAUUAAAUACUUUAAUAGUAAUUUAAAACUUUCAACAACGGAUCUCUUGGUUCUG